rnacentral:rRNA from 1 species
GGGGUGCAAUGGGCGCAGCCUGAUGCAGCCAUGCCGCGUGUAUGAAGAAGGCCUUCGGGUUGUAAAGCACUUUCAGUAGGGAGGAAGGGAGUGUAGUUAAUACCUUUGCUAUUUGACGUUACCUACAGAAGAAGCACCGGCUAACUCCGUGCCAGCAGCCGCGGUAAUA